ACACGUAGGGGGCGAGCGUUGUCCGGAAUUACUGGGCGUAAAGGGCGCGUAGGCGGCCUGUCAAGUCAGAUGUGAAAUCCCCGGGCUUAACCCGGGAACUGCAUUUGAAACUGGCGGGCUUGAGGGCAGGAGAGGAAAGCGGAACUCCUAGUGUAGCGGUGAAAUGCGUAGAUAUUGGGAGGAACACCAGUGGCGAAGGCGGCUUUCUGGACUGUCACUGACGCUGAGGCGCGAAAGCCAGGGGAGCGAACGGGAUUAGAUACCCCGGUAGUCCUGGCUGUAAACGAUGGGUACUAGGUGUUGGGGGUAUCGACCCCUCCAGUGCCGCAGUUAACGCAAUAAGUGUCCCGCCUGGGGAGUACGGUCGCAAGACUGAA
rnacentral:rRNA from 1 species